AUUGAACGCUGGCGGCAUGCCUUACACAUGCAAGUCGAACGGUAACAGGUUAAGCUGCCGCGUGGCGAACGGGUGAGUAAUGUAUCGGAACGUGCCCAGUCGUGGGGGAUAACUGCUCGAAAGAUCAGCUAAUACCGCAUACGACCUGAGGGUGAAAGCGGGGGAUCGCAAGACCUCGCGCGAUUGGAGCGGCCGAUAUCAGAUUAGGUAGUUGGUGAGGUAAAGGCUCACCAAGCCGACGAUCUGUAGCUGGUCUGAGAGGACGACCAGCCACACUGGGACUGAGACACGGCCCAGACUCCUACGGGAGGCAGCAGUGGGGAAUGUUGGACAAUGGGCGCAAGCCUGAUCCAGCCAUGCCGCGUGCGGGAAGAAGGCCUUCGGGUUGUAAACCGCUUUUGUCAGGGAAGAAAAGGUUCUGGCUAAUACCUGGGACUCAUGACGGUACCUGAAGAAUAAGCACCGGCUAACUACGUG
rnacentral:rRNA from 1 species